UACGUAGGGGGCGAGCGUUGUCCGGAAUGAUUGGGCGUAAAGGGCGCGUAGGCGGCUUAGCAAGUCUGGAGUGGAAGUCCUAUUUUCAAGGUAGGAAUUGCUUUGGAAACUGUAAAGCUUGAGUGCAGGAGAGGUCAUCGGAAUUCCCGGUGUAGCGGUGAAAUGCGUAGAGAUCGGGAGGAACACCAGUGGCGAAGGCGGGUGACUGGACUGCAACUGACGCUGAGGCGCGAAAGUGUGGGGAGCAAAC
rnacentral:rRNA from 1 species